CGGAGCGCUAGCUUCGGUGGAGGCGCUGGUGGGAUACCGCCCUGACUGUAUUGAAAUUCUAACCUACGGGUCUUAUCGACCCGGGAGACAGUGUCAGGUGGGCAGUUUGACUGGGGCGGUCGCCUCCUAAAAUGUAACGGAGGCGCCCAAAGGUUCCCUCAGAAUGGUUGGAAAUCAUUCGUAGAGUGCAAAGGCAUAAGGGAGCUUGACUGCGAGACCUACAAGUCGAGCAGGGACGAAAGUCGGGCUUAGUGAUCCGGUGGUUCCGCAUGGAAGGGCCAUCGCUCAACGGAUAAAAGCUACCCCGGGGAUAACAGGCUUAUCUCCCCCAAGAGUCCACAUCGACGGGGAGGUUUGGCACCUCGAUGUCGGCUCAUCGCAUCCUGGGGCUGUA
rnacentral:rRNA from 1 species